AAAGCAACCAAGUGCAAAUAGUGUCAUCUCCAUUUUACUGAUGAAGAAAUCAAAGGUCAGAUAGUGUGAUUUGACCUCAGUCAUGGAGCUAGUAAAUGGGUCAUGUUUUCUAACUUUCGUUUCCAGUGUAACCUGUGUUUUACUACAUCCCUUUGUUUCUUUAUUACCUCCAUCUGUUCAUACAUCCUUUAAUAUUUCCAUGAACUCACUUGAAUUAGCAGUCUUCUCCUCACCCCUCUUAGGAGGUAAAGAGGAGAAAAACCAAGCUUCGAAGCUAUAGACAACUGGAUAUUGAUCUCUGUUCAUCUACUUCCCAGGUGCCUGUCUUUGGACAAAUACAAUUUAUCUAAGCCUUAGAUUUGUCCUCUUUGAGAGGGGAGAUGAUAUAAUCAGUGUAAAGAUCAAUGCACAAAAAAGAGAGUUUCAUGAGAGCAGCAGUUUUUGUGUUUAGUUCAGGGCUGCAUCGUGAGCAUCACAAACAGGGCUUGCUACCUGCACGCAUUCAGCCAGUAUCUGUGGAAUGAAGGCAUGCAGGGAAGUCCCUAGCUGAGGGCCUGACUUAAUAAAAGGAGCGCAACGGAAGUGGCCAUUAUCUCUCACCUACUGGCCCAGCCUCUUUUCCUGUCCCUCUCCUGCUUUACCCAGCCCUUCAGAUGGCACAUCCCGUUUUGCUGUAGGGGAUUGUUGGGGAUUUGCUUUCCUAAGUUUAGAGCGUUCGGGUUUAGGCCUAUCUUCAGGAGGGGAGCCUGGCGGUCUCUGAGCAGCCAGGAGAGGGCAGCAGCCUCGGCGCGGUGGCUCAAGCUGGGGAAGGGCACCCUCGCGGAGGAGAUAGCGGAGGACCCGGAAGUACUCGGCCACAGUCGCAGCCCCGGCACACCGGAGGGGGAAAAAGUCUGAGGGCCGCCGCCCCGCAGCUGCGCAUCCCCAGGAAUUCUCGGGCAGGAAUUGGAAUGCCUUACUAUUCGAUGACGCUCUUGAAUUAUUUAACACUUGCAUCAUUUUUUUAAAGUUUGAGAGAGACCUCCAGAAACUUACAUGCUGUAGAAACCUGCUCCCACGGAUGGUGGACCCUUCUCGUCACUCCCACUCCAGGCACCAGGAGAGGGAGAAGCCAACUGCCACCAUUUAGGGGAAGGAAGGGGCUGGAAAGAGGUGCUGAGAACUGUCUACUAGGAGAGGCAAGUGUCCAUCUCUGAGAAGGAGGAAAUCAGGAGGAAGAAGGAAAAAUAAGAAAGGAAAAGGCAACACUUUGAAUCUUUACAUAAAACUGUAUAAUUCAUUUCUGCUGUGGGAAGAUGGAAUACUUUUUGUCCCUUUCUGAGAGACAGCAGAACCUUUCAAGCAUGGGUAUGUGAUUUGGGGUAACUAUGUAACUAGAAAUACUGAUAGAAAAAUAAUCUUUCCUAUUCCUUUUAUUUUUUCAACAACAGCAACUAAAAAGAGCACGAGGAAUUUGAAGACAGAGAUGAGCUGUGUAGCACCAACAUUUUCUUUCUGCCUGACCUUAAUACCUGAUGAAUUAAAAGGUCAGUUUUAAGUGCAUCACAUGAUAGGCUUCCAUCACUUUUAUUAGCCCAGGUGGUAAAUAUGAAGAAAAAGAAUUAUCGCGGAUUUUUAAAAAAUCCAGCAGGAGGAGCUCUAACAUGCUUUAGAGCUCAAAUUUUAAAAACAAAACUUUUUAAAGCUAACAGAGAAAAACAGAGAGGCAUUGUGCCUUGCAGGCUGCCAUGUCAGUGAACAAAUAUGUGACUAAGUCCAAUUAAAUGGUUCGUGAGAAGCCAAAGAAGCCAAGCGAUGAUACUCAUGGAGACAGAACGGCCCACAUUUCCUCCCUUCCACGAGCCUCCUCUUUCUGAUGCAGUUAAGCUGGGACUAGUCUGCAGUAUUAGCUCUUACAAAAGAGGGAGCAAAAGGAUGAUUUCUGGGCAAGUCUAGAUGUAAUUCUUUCCCUCUGAAAGUGUCAUAUUGUUUCUAAACAAGUCUUUGACACUAGCUCAGGAAUUUGAAAUACAUUUAAAAACAGAAUUUUCAUUGUUGGUUGAAGGCACUAUGAAACUCCUAAAGGUUCAGUUGCUUCUAUUCAGUGGUUUGUCAGAUGCUUUUUUUUAAAUGAGAGAAAUGCUGUGUUUGUAAAAAUUGGUGCUAAAAGGGUAACGAAUCAUACGUCCCCUGGGCCAUGUAAAGAGUCUGCAGAAAGAAUUAGAGCUUUCUAACACACACGCUAACACACACACACACACACACACACACACACACACAAACUGGAACUCAAAGAAUUUACUCAGGAACAGUGAGGAGUGUAUGAAUUUAACAGUUAUGGGAUUUUUAGGGUAAGCUUUUCCAUUUUGGACAGUGUUGUGGGGGUGGAAUGGAUGAGUGGGCAUAUACGAUGAUCAGAAUUACUUAACCUGAAGGAAAUUUUCAACCAAUUCAUUUUAAUCUCUUGCCAACAAAAAGUCAAACUUUUGUUUUACACCUUAAUGGUAUGCUCACAUUUUAAAUUUUUAUGCAGGCUCCUACAGAAACUUUAACUAGACCAAUUCAGACCAAAAGUCACUAAAUAAAGCUAGUCUAGACGGAAAAUCUAUGAAAACCAUAUGUCUUUUAGGCAUCUGUCUUACAAAAACUACCAUCAUCCCAGAGAAAUUGUUCACAAAAUAUGCUUUUAGGAAAACACUGCUGUACUGACCAUGGAGGGCUGUACUUAAGAAGAUGGCUGGACUUGGAAAGAAUAAAGCCAAAAUGUUUAUAAAUGAAAGGCUCUCAUUUUCACAUACAUCUAACUGCCUGUAAACAUUACUGAAAGGCUGGGCCAAGCAGAUAUCAUUUAUCUUACCAUUAUUCUAGAAGGGAUCGAAAAAAUUUACAGUUUUGUUCCUCCUCACUACUACAGAACAUUAGACCAGGGGAUCUCAAAGCAAUUCUGUUUUCACCCACAGAGAACUGUUUUGAAUAAUGUUGUACGUGGAUGAGGCCAAUAAACCAGAACAUUUUCUUCUGAUUAUUACCUCAUCCUGCUGGCCUGCCAAACACAGCUAACAGGCAGGUGUCCGAUAUAAGUUACUAGAGGAAGAUUGUUCUGUGUAAUUGGUGUAGGGAUCAUCUGAGAGACAAGGGAAAUCAGAAGGACUAGGGUACAGAGGAAGGGUGCAAUGAGAAUGCAGUAAAGAGGAAUAUUUUAAAAGUUUGCUUUUCCAAUUCAGCAUUGCUUUCUGAACUAAAGACAAUGGUCAGUGCUACCUUCAGUAUUCUAGGUACAUAAUGUUUCACCUUACGAUGCAUUUUAAUUUUAAUAAGUGGUAAGACAUCCACACAAAAAGAAUAUAAAUGCAAACUUUAGUGACAAAAAUAACAUUCGAACUGAAAACUAAAUAGCGAUGGAAUCUAUGAAAGUAUUUAUGAAUUGCAAAGAUUACUUGUAAUCCUCUAGAAUAUUUUACUGAAACUUAUUUCUCUGCAGAAAAGGAGAUGUUGAAACAACAAUUCAGUAGCAAUAAUUAUGGGCAUGAAUAACUCCAUGCAUUUUUUAGUCGCCUAGAAGACUGUGAAUGAACAAUAUACAUCAAAUAGCCACAUAGGGCAAAAAAGUCCUAAGUUGGAAGAGAAAGA